GGGAACAGAGGUAACAACCUCAUGUUCAUUUCUCCACGUCCUGUAUUCUUCCCUCCCAGUAAAUCUCUUUUAUGAUGUUUGCUGCCUGAUGUGACUCUCUCAUCAGAAGAAGCCAAGAAGCAAUGAAGCAAAGAAGGGUAGAUGGGAGCAGGCUGAGGCUCCUGAGCUCAGCUGGGGAUACGUCUCCUGGGACCUGCAGUGUAGAAGAGGAGCCGCUAGGGGGAGCUGAUAACAGUGUAGCACUCCAGUUGACCAACCAUAUCCUCCAUAAGGGCUGCAAGCCCUCUGCUAAGGUUUCCUCUCAGAGUUGUGUGGUUCCUGGGCUCCCACGUCUCAGAAUGUCCUUCCUUUGCGACAUUGUCCCACCUCAGAGCUGUGUAUGUUCCUGGGCUCCCAAGUCCCAGGAUAACUUUCCACUGAGCAGAAACACCAACAGUUAUUAUGCCCAGUGCUCGGGAACCCCAGAAGAAUGCCAGGAAGUACAAGUCCGAUGUUAAAACAAAGAGACUCAGAGCAAAGCCUUUCCCACUGUUCAGGUUAGGGAUGUGAUGCCCGCAUCCAGGGGCUUGGAGUAUAUAUACACGUGCAUAUUCAUAGGCAGAGCUCCGCGAACUUGAGUUACAUGACUGGGGAGGUGACGAGGGAAAGCUAUCCUUCAAACCCGAUAACGUUUGUUUAGGGGCAGAACCAUGCAGCUGGGAGGGGGACCCUCCUGACCUGGGAAGUAACUUUAUGGAGCUAUCAGGAGCUAGUGUAUUUUUACAAACUGGUUGCAGCUGUCUGGGAACACUUAAUUGCCCUUCCUUCAUGGUCCAAGCAUGGGCCUUUUAUCAUUUCAAGGAUGUUUGGUCCUUGUUCCCUUCAAGGGCAGGAGCCUUCUGCACCUGAGAAAGGUUUCUGGAUCCAGCUGAAGAGCUCUAUCAUUCCAUCAAAACCAUGAGAACUGCCUGAGCUAACACUGACUGCUACUUGAAUCUUGUGAGAAGCCUGAGACAGAAGGGCAGCCACACUCUGGGUACCCAGCUGUGCCACUCUGAAUUCUAGAGUGUCUUUAACCUAGCGGACUUGGUAGUCACUCAGGUUAUAGCAAGAGACAGCUGAUUUAUGAUAGCUUCAAGUGUGGUGUGCCGGCUAUCUUGAUUGUCAGCUCGGCGGGAGUUUAGAACUACCUAGGAGAUAAGCUCAAGUGUGUCUGUGAAGAUGGUUCCAGAGGUGAAACUAAGGAACGGAGACAUGAAAGUGGGUGACACCCCACACACACUGGGCUCCCAGACUGAUGGAAGAAAAGGAAAAGAUUCAUGGGGUCAGCCUGCAAGAAAUCCAUUUGCAUAAGAGACCAGAAAUAAGCCACCUUACAGAGGGAGAUGCUCAAGCAGGCAUGACGAAUUAUAGAUGACCUCAGUCUUAGGCACUGCCCUCAUUGAGAGCUCUAAAGCUCUGAGAUUCUAGGGCAGAAAUACAGAAAGGAAGCCAUCUUGCUCAGGGAGGGAGAACUCACUUCCAGAUUCUGAGGGCUUUAUUCAUUCUUGGCACCACCACCAACAACAACCACCAUCUUUUAAGAGCUGACAGAAUCCAAGCUCUGCAGAGCCUCUAGGCUGACACCCCAAGUGGUGGGAGCCCAAGAGUACAGCUCAGGCUACUGUUAUUUUCCAAGCCUGCCUCAGAGACCUGGUCUUAAAAGGAGGCAAUUUUCACACAAAUCAGACGGCAUUCUCAUUAAAAUAAUGAGUUGCAAGAAUAACAGCUUCCCAGGGCCAUUAUCUACAAACCCUCCAGGCUAACCUGGCAGCUUUGGCGAAAGUCCCUGCAGUUGCAACCACUGAUGCCUGUGAUGGAGAAAGAAGAAUAAGGAAUCCAGAUGGAAGAGGUCUGUCCGUGCUUGCAGCACAGCCCCUCCUGGUUUUGUUGGAGAUCUUGCCCCGUGGAACCACAUGGCAGACCACUCACGUUUCCCAGUCUGGUUUGGAUCAACCACGGCUUCUCCUGAUGCCUUCUUACCGGCCAGGUGCAGUGCUAAAGUGGGCACAGUGACAGCAAGGGAGAGGCCCAGAGGAAAAAGACUCGGAGCAUGCAAUUUGGGUUUAUUUUG
ensembl:lincRNA 4930463O16Rik RIKEN cDNA 4930463O16 gene